rnacentral:rRNA from 1 species
GAUGAACGCUGGCGGCGUGCCUAAUACAUGCAAGUCGAGCGAACAGACGAGGAGCUUGCUCCUCUGACGUUAGCGGCGGACGGGUGAGUAACACGUGGAUAACCUACCUAUAAGACUGGGAUAACUUCGGGAAACCGGAGCUAAUACCGGAUAAUAUAUUGAACCGCAUGGUUCAAUAGUGAAAGACGGUUUUGCUGUCACUUAUAGAUGGAUCCGCGCCGCAUUAGCUAGUUGGUAAGGUAACGGCUUACCAAGGCAACGAUGCGUAGCCGACCUGAGAGGGUGAUCGGCCACACUGGAACUGAGACACGGUCCAGACUCCUACGAGAGGCAGCAGUAGGGAAUCUUCCGCAAUGGGCGAAAGCCUGACGGGGCAACGCCGCGUGAGUGAUGAAGGUCUUCGGAUCGUAAAACUCUGUUAUUAGGGAAGAACAAAUGUGUAAGUAACUAUGCACGUCUUGACGGUACCUAAUCAGAAAGCCACGGCUAACUACGUG